GCGCCACAGUUUUUAAGAUUUUGUUUACAUUUCAUUUUUAAUUGAAAUAUUUACUGAAAUUCAAUUUUUUAAACAUGUUUAAAUUCGAUUUAGUUAUUUAGUUAGUUUUUCACUUUUUGUCAACAUAAUUUGAACGAUUUUAAAUCUACCAUCUGAGUGUUGGUCCAUUGAGUGUUUAAAUCAGAUACUGGUUGGAUGUCGUUGGUAUUGUAACAAGCUUUUCUUUAACGAGACCUGGUUGGCAUAAAUCCAGAUGGAAAGACAUCCUCAUGGCAAUUUCAUGAAAAACAUAUUCAAUUAUAUUAUUCUUACGGUCAUCUGAAGUUAAUAGAGAUCCUGUUAAAACAAAGCAACAUGAUUUUCUGAUGGUUAAUGAUUCUAUCCUAUUGUUGGUUAUUUGCUCCAGGACUUACAGCAGGAAAUUAUGUAAAUUUUCUCAACCAAAUGACAUUAUUUUGAGAUUAUUUGAAUCCUGGCAUUUUGUCCUCUUUUGUUAUUUCAAGGCACACACAAAGCACUAAAUAACAGGAAAUUAUUUCAUUGCCGAGUUUAUCUUCUUUACUACUGUUGACUGGUCUACCACGGUUACAGUUUUGUACCUAACCCAAUCAUGGCACUAUCAAUGAUACAAACUAGCGGGAAACUCAAGACCAACCAGCCUUAUUAACCAAAAAGAUGAUGAUUACUGCUUUUGGUAAUGCCAAUGGCUCUUGUUUAUAGAUCCAACAUUAACGUAUAAUCCGAUUAAAGCGAUUGUUGGAAACAAGGUGAUGAUCAGCAUUUUUACAAAACCUGGAGAUUUGGCGAUCACAAUAGUCUUGGAAAAUUCAACAAAAUUUGGGUUGAAAAGAUUGAAAGACGGACGAAUGUAUCAAGUUUUACCUUUAUUGUGCAAUAAGCCAGGAAAAACAUUUCAACUGUUACCAAGCCAUUAAUCGUUGAAGCCAUUAAUCAAACUUUAUGUGUAAAUUGAUUAAUGUUGAAUUGAAAAACACGUCGAUUGCUUGCAAAAAGAAAUCUCAACCUGAAAAUUGAAAAUCGCAACAAAUGAAAAUCAAUUUGCCAAUUGUAUAAAGUACAGUUAAACCUGAAUACAGCCCGCAGUGUACCUCAACAAGACUGUUUAUGUCUAUCGAUACAUUUUUACCUUUCAUUUUCCUUCAUCAAUAUCAUCAUCAACCUGAUUCAAUUGAUUCAUUAGACUUAACCUGAACAUUUAUUGGAUUCCCUAUUGAUUUAUUGCAAUCAUAAAGAAAAUUCAUUUAUCAUGUUAGCCAGGUGUAAAUGUCAAACAAAAAGAGUCGAGAGCUUCAACAUGUUGGACAUAUUAAUUUAAAGUGAUAAUAAUGUUAUUCUUAAACAUUUGGAACAAGGAACAUGGAAGAUUAAAAUCUCUGCUGUUUUAAUUCAACUCAGAUAUCUUUUACUUCAUGAUGCCAACAAUCAAUCGCUGGACCUCUUAACUCUACAAUAAAAUAUCCAAAAAUAGCUGGAAAAUCAAACUACUACAGAAAGUAAAUGGCAACAAAAGAUUCAUUUCAAGACUAUGGAUGGAUGAAAUUGAGACAAAACUGACCAUAUUUUUGAUCAACAAGAUUACUUAGAUGUCAAAAUUUUAACCUUAACUCUUUCAUCUCGGAUGGUUAAUUGAUUGAUUACAAGCCCAAUUUAUUGCACAUUCAACCUUCCAUCAAAUUCCUCGGUAAAACUAGGUGAUUAUCAUGAUGCUGUUGGUAAUGGUAAAUCACUAAUGGACUAUUAACACUAUUCAUUAUUAAGAGUUGAUAUUUUCACCUCUUUUAAAUACAUUUAGCUCAUGCUUGGUUUCUCGAGAGAUCAUUCAUUUUCCCUUUCAUCACCAUCAUUACCAUCAAAAGCAACCUUUAGGACUACAAAAAUGAAAUAAAUUGUCGUCUUUUUAUCCCUCAACAGUUAAUAUGAAACGUAAAUACUUCAACUUUUCAAGUUCAUAUUCAAGUCCAAUUCAUGUUUUAUAUUAAUUUCUGGAAGUAAUGACAAAUAUAACUGUACAAAGGCCUUAUUUCAGCCACUUUAGUCUCUGUUAGUCGCAAAAUCAAAUGAAAAUUAUUUUAAUGGAAGAUUUUUAAUGAGCAAAAACAAAAAACAUUGAACAUGUAAUUUCAAUUGAGUUUCAGUUAAAGUUGCAAUUUACCUUAAAUGAUAAAUUUUGCGAAACACUUUCCAUGUUUAGGUUGCAUUUCAUCCUUUUUUGUCCCUAUUAGACUUAUUAAGAUUACAACAGAUUGAAAGAGUAAAGUGAUUCCAGUCGAUUGCCAUUUACUCUGCUUUACUCAAUCAUUGGAAAAAUGAAUUGAAGUUGAUUCAAUUUGUCAACCUUUUCUCGUUGCCUUUUAAAAAAGUCUGACAUUCACUGUUCACAAGAUUAUCAAAGUUCACAUGAUAUUUUCAACUUGGACAAGUGCAAGACUGAAACAGUAAAAAAAUCAAUUCUCAUUGAAUAUUUUCCAUUAAGAAAACACAAAGAAAAACAAUUGAAUAAAAAACAUUGUAACAUUCAUUUUUAUUCAUUUGUGAAUCUGAUUACCCUGUUAUCUCAUCCCAAGCCACAAUUUAAUCCAUGUAAUGUCAACACUUAACCGUUAAGUGUUUGCAUGUUGCAAAACUGACUCAAUAAUGAUUCAAUUGAGCUUGAACAAGAUUCAUCAGAAUUGUUGGCGAAAUCAGUUGAACAGUUAAAACUCUAAAGAUGAAACUUUCAUUCCUUUCAUGGUUAAUCAACUCAUGUAAGUCUCAAAUUUAAUGAUAAUUAUUUAGUAAUUUAGUUAAACAUUACAAGCAAAUCCAAGAAAAAUGUAAAUAUUACUUUAAUGAUUUUCAAGCCUUUCAACGAAACAAACUCACUGCAUGAUAAUCUUAGUUCAUUUUAAUGGCAAAAUCAAGGCAAAAAUGAACGAGCAAAGAAAAUAAAAUUUCCCGAAAAAUUGAAUUCAAAACUGUUUGUGAAUAAACCUGAAACUGCUUCUAAUCGGAGUAAGAAUUCACUUGAAAUUUUCUUGAUGAACGAUUUUUUCAAUUUUUAAAAAAUAAAAGUUCGAUUCAUUUUUCUUUCUUA